AGGGUUUGAUUCUGGCUCAGGAUGAACGCUGGCGGCGUGCUUAACACAUGCAAGUCGAACGGAGUGCUCAUGACGGAGUUUUCGGACAACGGAUUGAGUUACUUAGUGGCGGACGGGUGAGUAACGCGUGAGUAACCUGCCUUGGAGUGGGGAAUAACAGCUGGAAACAGCUGCUAAUACCGCAUGAUGCAGUUGGGUCGCAUGGCUCUGACUGCCAAAGAUUUAUCGCUCUGAGAUGGACUCGCGUCUGAUUAGCUAGUUGGCGGGGUAACGGCCCACCAAGGCGACAAUCAGUAGCCGGACUGAGAGGUUGGCCGGCCACAUUGGGACUGAGACACGGCCCAG
rnacentral:rRNA from 1 species